ensembl:lncRNA
CUAGAUCACUCCAUAAAAAUGGAUUCCUAGAAAAACACAAACCAGCUAUUUACCUUGUAAAUUUUAUUGCCCUAAAAAAAAAAAAGUAUCCCUUUUUAAUAAGGAAUCGAGGGAAGGCAGUCCUUGUCCCUCCUUUAUUGGUGAACAAGGACACACAGUCAACAGAAACUCACAAGAGGCUGCGAGUCCGAUUCAUUAGCCACUUUGUCUCGUAAAACCCAGCAUUUUUAUUAAAAGAGGACGAGGAUAGCCAAACGCUCUGCUCUUUUUUAAGAAAACUGCUUUUAAUGUCAGGCAAGACUUGGUUUGGUUUUUUUUUUUUUUCCCUUAAUAAUUUCUCAAACAAAGCUCAGACUCUCCCGACUCCACGCCUGUUCCUCCAGCCGCAGGAGGGAAAGGGAUUUCUGAAUCCAUCUGACAUGUCGGAUUUCUUUGUGGCAUCCACUCCAUCGCUCAGCAGCCAGCCAUGAUGUCAUAAGCCCAUCAGAUUUCCGAUUCCUCACUGGAGAGACAGGGACACUUCAAAUGCAGCCAAUUGCACCAAAGAGCAGAUCGGCGGAAUCAAGGUCUCCUGCCUCAUCUUACUACCCUGGGGAAAAGGGGGCUGCUGAACCCGAGGCUUGGGGCUCCCACCCGCACAAGUCGCCAUAACCAAGAGCCUAAGAUUCUGGAGACGCCGCGGGGUCUUCGUGUGUGCGAGCUGCCCCUUUCCCCUCAGGGAGUUACUCAACGCACUCCAGCAAACUUUCCAGAAGCGUCUACAGCUUCCCGUGGCUCUGCAGCACUACCAACCAUCAACUCGCGUCCACAGUCUCGCUUGCUCCCGGCUACCUGGAGGUCCCCCGAGUCCCAGGUCCGCGCGCACCUCCACACACUCUCCAGCCACUGCGGACCUCAGCCUUGGGGAUCAGUCUGUCCCCGUUUCAGAUCUCCCGGGCGCCUCCUCCGCACCACCUGCGCUCAUCUACACCGCCUCGGGGGUCCUCGGGUCGCUUGCGUCUACACAGCUUCAGCAGUCUCCGGGUCUACACAACCCAGCACAUGAGCGAUGCCCUCAAGGUUCACCCAGUGUCUCAUCCCAGUGCCUACCUUGCCUACUACAGUUCCUCAGGCUCCCGUCCUGGUUCACACAUUUUGCAAUCUUGUCAGUAGAGAAAGGAAAGGAAAUCUUGUAAUCCUCCUGCAGCCAUGUGGUGUUUACCCCUAACCCCCUUCUCCGUUUUUUUAGUUGUUUUGUUCUUUUUUUUUUUUUUUUUUUUUUUUUUUUUUUGCCUUUAGAACAAUAUUCAUGCCCAACGGCCGCAAGCUGCGGGCUCCAGGCAAACGCAGCUGGCUGCGGGGGCGUGGCCCUGGGCGGAGAGAGGGCGUGGUCUGGGCGGGCAAAGCGAAGUGUCUCUGCCCUGGCCUCCCUCCGCUAGGAAACCGUGGCCUGCGACCAAGGCUCCUGUUCCAGCUCACGAUUGGUCAGCCCAGUCGCGAUGCUGAUGCCUAAUUGGCUGAGACGAAGAAGACUCAGAGGUGGUGGUGGUGGUGUGUAGAUUUUAUUCUUUGCCUUUUUUUUUCCCCCUGAGGCGGCCGCUGCUCUGUGGGUUCCUCCUGAACUCUGCAGCCUUUUACUCUCUAACACAGUGCUCCCCAUCGUAAUGUUUAAUCCCACCUCGAAUGAUAACUACGUUUCUUUGUCCUUCUCCACCUCCAUGAGGUCAGGACUCGGGGUUUCAACCGCUUAGUAGUGUAGCCCCAGUGCCUGCCUUAUAGUAGGUGUAUCAAAAACAUUUGUGGAUUAUAUUAAUAGAAAUGGUGCACGUGGGGUCUUGGAGCUAUAUUUAACGCUGGCAACAGUCCUAAGGGGAAACAGAGGUACAGAGAUUGCAGCAACCACCGGCCUGAUUGUGGUUACAUAUAGGCUUAAUAUGUAGGCUCCAGCUUUGUAAACAGCAAUGCCCUGUGGGGUAUCAGAACCUGCUUCUCACGUGUCCAGUGUUAGACUAAAGCAAGAAGAGGGUCGCACUAUAAGUUAUUUCAGUGAAUGUGCUGUCCCUAGC